AUUUUGAUAUUGGUUUGUUGUUGUUGUUGUUUUAAGUGUGCUUGUUGCAAAAGAUCACUUAGAAAAGCAAACGGUUUGGUUUCUACUGGAUGCAUGCUCUACUCUAGAAAAAUAAAGUCCCUUCAAAAUGAUGGAAAGGAGGCUUUAGUAAUGCAUGAAUGAUUAUAACUCUCAUAUUUUACCAAUCACAAGAGAAAAAUGGAUUCAAACAGCCAUGUAAUCUGGUCUGCCUCACCAUGGAAGAGGUGCCCUGCUAGACACCACACGUCCAGCUUUCUCUGACCACAGUGAUGUAGUUGACAACAGCGUACAACAGGUCUGUUUUCUCACCCUCUUAUCCCACCCAGAUAACAUCUGGUUGGACAGCCUAUUAGCUAUUGAUGCAAGAAUGCUUGUUCUCAGAGCCACCAGGACUUGAGCGGGAGCCUUCUUGGAAGCCUCAUCAAGAGGCAGACCACUUCACCUCUGUGUGAGCUAUCUCUGAGCAUCUUUCCCCUUCUUCCCAGGGAGUUCUCAAAGAUACUUAUAAUCUCCUUUCAAGAUCUCUGUGCAAUGAAAAUUUCAUAGUGCAACUCGAAAGUCAUGAGGCAACAUUCUAUCACAUGCCUUGGAGGGCUGACCAUUACUUGGACAGGAACUGAGUUAGAUUUUUUCCUCAAUGCCUUGUAGAUCUCAGCUGGCUCCCACAUGUCCAGAGCCCUAAACAAGUAAUUUCAUGUAUACCAGCUUGUAUUAGAGGAUGGAUUGCACACAAACCAGUCCUGUAGACCUUUGGGGUACUUGUUUGUGAAACUGGUCUAAUCCAUUGCUAAGGAGGGGUAAUCGUAGCAGCUUCAAUUCUUAUCACAGAAACUAUAUUCAACGCUGACCUGAGGGCAUAUUUUCAUUUUGUUAUCCAUUUUUCUAGGGAAACAAAUUAUUUACAUAAAACAUGGGUCAGAACCCACAUCCAAGUUUUUAUUUAGUAGAACAAUGAGUCCCUCUUCAUCCCCCUACUUGCGAGGCAUCCAAACUGAGAACAUAUAAUUUUCCUGGACACAAACCAAAGGGUCUUGGGUUCCUUAUCCUGGCUCUUCCAGAGUGGAACCAGUAUCAAGAGGUUUCUGCUUUUACAUAAUUGUGCUGGAAACCCACAGUGUUGCUGUUAAGAAGAGAAAAGCCCUUAAAUGAUACAGUUUUUAAUGUGCUACUUUUGUAGCAGACUCAAUCCACAUUUACCUUGAAGUAGGAUUCCUUGGUGUUUUUAAUAAUUAGUAAUCAACUUUAUAGAAGGAAUUUGUUGCAUCAUUUUGCAGAAAGAAAAAAAAUCUAUGAUGCAGUCCCUUUGCUUGGUUAAAAAGAAAUUUUGUUCAAACCUUGAAGAAAUUAUCAAUAUUUACAAUAUUGUUAUUAAACAGAAAGGAAUUAUAAGCUUCAAACAACCAAUAUUAAAUGGUUUUUAUAAUGUAAUCUAAUUGCGUUUUGGGAGUGUUGCCACAUGGGACCAUUAAGAGAGUCUUAGCUCUUACCCAGGACUGUGUUAAGACAAGGAGCCUGAGGACCAUAAUUUAGCUUUGCCAAAGAUCUUUCUAAGGUGCUAGUCUCAAAGGAGUAAUUUCCAAGCUACACAGUAAUUUAGAUACUUAUGAUCAAUUAAAAUGCAUGAUUGAUUUAAUAAGAAUUUCCUUCAUGUCUUUGAGUAAAAUCAUUCUAAACCAAAGGGUGUGAUCUAUUGGGAAUGGCAGGGGGGAAUUUUUUGCAAAUUAAGCCAACCCCUGAGGAUCCCUGUGUGUGUUGAGAAAUGUUACUGGGGAACCUGUUGCCUAGGGAAAGAACAAAGGAAGGCUCCAUUCUGUUAGGAUGGAAAAACAAUCUCAAAUGUUUCCAAUCUUCAAGCUGGUAACAUAUAUAUAUGAAGCUGCCCUUUCAGACUGCUUUUUGUUUUCUUACUUUGAUUGAGUCAUGGAUACAGAGAAAUAUUUCUCCUCAAUGGGAGAAGGAUCAUGGACAAAUGUAAUGAUAAGUAAGAAGUGAUUACACUGCAGAACAAGCAGACAAAAGAGAGGCAAGGACACUGUUGGGACUUGAAAAGUAAGACUAAUCACCUCCUGCCAAUCAUUGCCACAUAUCAACAAGGGCCAAAUCUUCCUGGUUUUCUAGAGAAUGUUGUGAUCCAAAUUUUUAAAAGCUCUUUAUCAAUGUUAAUGCAUUUUUAAAUGUUGAUAUAAUUCACUAAACAAAACACUGCAAGGCAAGCAAAGUGUAUCUAUCGGGCCAGUCCAGCAUCAAAACUCAGGUCUGGAUGUCGGUGGUAAUAAUGAGAAAUGCACUGCUCAAUUCAUUCACCCGUAAGGCUGUCACUGGGUUUCAUAUUUUGCCUGACACAACCAAUGGCAGUUCCAUGCUAAAGAUUGAUUUGCAACAGUGAAAUUAGCUACUGACCGCCAUGUUUAUUGCUGGCUUAGCAUAGCUAUUGCAAAGCCUCUCCCCUCCAUCUUCUGGGUAUGACCACAUUGUUUAGAAUCUGUUUUAGUCUAUUUUGCACAAGACAAGAACAUCAUAGUAAGAACUCAGAGGUCACACUCCCAUAGAAAGUAUUUCCUAGCAGAAAAACUUAAAUGAUUUUAAGUUCAAUGCCUGAGGGUCUGCACAGAUGGAAAUGAAAUUCCAUUAAUUUGUUAUUGCAUUUCUUGGACUAAGCAUUCUGUUUUGGAAGAUUCUAGAAAACAGGUUAUAUAUUUAAUUGAAUGAAGUCAUGUUUAGUUUCACUGAGUGGAGUUUUGCAGUCCUGGGAAUCAAACCCAGAACCUCGUGCAUACUAAGCAAGCACUCUACCACUGAGCUACAUAACCAGCCCUGAAACCAUGAAAUCUAAGCUAGAGUUUUGUACUUGAAACAUCUGUGUUUGUGAGUUAUGGCUCCUAGACCCCUGUAAGCCACGAUUUCCUUGUCCUGAAUUGAAAUUCAAAUCUUUCCAAACAUCCCUGGUGUGUAUUAGCAUUCCAGAAGCUGCCAGGGAGAAGCUGGGAGAAAGCCUAAUGGCUACAUUUGUACUCAAGUACCUAUUUUUUUGAACAAGAAGAAUAUGUCUGUGCCAACACACCACACAAUAAAAUAGGGAUUUGGCACCAAUUUCUAUUGAUUUGGUCAGGAUAAGCAGCCAAACUAGAUAUUUCAUGCCAGAAAUAUGAGUUGGCUUGGCUGACUUCACCUGAUUGAAAUUCACUGGAUAACAAUUAGACAACGUAUCUGGUUGUACAGUGUAGACAUAGCCAUCACCCCCUCUUUACUUUUGAAUUUUUUUAGAAAGCUAGUGUGUUCUUCUCUUCCAUUCAAAGUGUGCACUCCCCUCAAUCACUCAUCGCAAAAGAAGGUUCAUGUCUGGAAGUGGGGAGCUUUUGGCAGACCGUCUCUGUGGAGUGGGACAUAUUAUAAGUGAAAGGGGAUGACAGGGGGGCAUCAAUAGUAUCUACAGUAGCCAUGUGGGGGCCUUCAGGAGGGCACGUUGGAGUGGGAUGGUAAAAUAGAUGAAGUUUAUCCUGUAACGUCCAUUCACAGCUGUUUUACUGUGUGAGACCUGGGCUGGUCACUGGGGAUUCCUGAAUACAAAAGAAGUCCCGUAAAGAAAGAAAACUUCCCAAAUCGCUUAACUGAUGCAAUCUAUGUAAGCAAAUUUCUACAUUAAUGACACUGGUUCUCUGAACUCCCCACAAGAAGGACGAGGCAAUUGCAUUGACUGUCUUAAGAACAUGAUCCCAAAUCUGAUUUUCAUAGUCAUGGCAUCUUCACCCCAAAGCCAACUAGUCCAACAUUUUCCAGCCUAGGCACCAUUCCUGUUCUCACUUACUUUAAUUCUACUUUAACAUACUUUUUUUUUUAACAGUGCUUCAAAUCAUUACCAAAAAUGGGAACUUCUUGUUCCUUUUCUUGUGAAGCAGAUAGUAAAUAGCAGUGUUAUGAAAUUUUGAAUUGAUAGAGUUGCCUGACAAAGACUCUGAGAAACUCAAACACCCGCCGCCACUCUCAUAAUUUAAAAAAAGGAAAAAAGAGGGAGGUGUAAGCAAAUGUGUUCAAGGGCGACAAGUAGCUAAGACUGUCUUUCCUACAAUCUGAAGAAUUGAAGGAGAGAUGAAAAGAAUUACUAUCUUACUCUAUGAUUUAAUUUUAAUUAAGAAAAGGUUUCCGUGCCACCAGAGCCAUCGUAUCUCCUCCACUCAGGGAAACACUGAUGUGAUCCAGCCAUUCUGUCCAAAAGAUUAUCCAACUUCCACCUGAACAUGUCCAAAGACGUGACCUCUUUAAAACCCAUUUAUUCUUAUACAACUAACCAUGUAUCUUUGUAUCCAAAGUAAAACAAACAAUUCUUUCUUAAAGAAAAACCAAACAACACACCUGCUUGCCUGUGACCACCUCUCUGUGUGACAAGUUCUAUAAUGUGUCAAAUUAAAAGGCAGUGUCCCUUUAAAUCUAUAAACCGGUGAACUCAAUGGAAUGUGUGACUUGACAAUAGUUAAAGCCAACAAGCUGGAAUCUCUUACCUGAGAAAAUAAUGAAAGUAAAAGCAAUAAGUGUUGUACCUCAAAGUAUGGCUGUUUGGCUUUAGAGAAACGACAAUAAGAGUGGGCUGAAGUUUGUCAUUUCAUUGAUCACAACAGGCCAAAAAAAAAAAUGAGCUUAAAAAAUAAUUUGUUCUUGAGCUGGUGAGCGUUUGUUUAAGGCUUGCAAAAAUGAGAGCCAGAAUCAUUUAGGAGAAAUUUAAUAUUUUAGACGAUACAUUGCCAAGGCUCUGGUGUGUAGCUCAAGCCAGUUUGGAUAAUCUGAGCAGUCACAGUCAAGAAAGAGGCCAUAAGUUACACACACAUACUGUAUUGGAAUAAAAACUGUCUAUCUUGGAUGGGGAAGUGUUUCUUUAGGCUUCCCUUUCUUUCUCUGAAGAAUAGGGGUGAAGAUGGUCCCAUAGGUGUGAGGAUUUAUGCCUGGCACAUAGUAUGUGCUCAAGCAGUGGUAACCACUGGCACUAAGAGCUGUCAGCUGGCCUCUGGCUGUUCUCACUGUGCAAAUGAAAAUUCAAGAGCAAGAAGAGAGAGCUUCAGUUCAGGAGCACAUAAUGAAGGCUGCAGAUUCCAGGAGUCUCAUUUGUCUAUGAUCCUUGCGGCAACCACUUCCCUAUUAAGGUAAAUUAAAGAAACCAUAAAGUUAACCCAGUAACAACAUGGGAAACGGAGAAAAUUCCUUGCUCACCACUGGAGGGGAUUGGUUUCUGCCCUGCAGCAUGGGACUUGACUUCCUUAUCGCAGCUGCAUAAUUCCAAAUAUUAUCAUUGGUUAUACAACUGCCCAGUUUUCCCUGAGAAGCUCAGCCCCAGUGUGUGGCACCCUGCAUUCUGCCAGGCAGCGAAUUCCACAUGCAGCUCACACGCCGCGAGCUGAGACUUUACAGCUCACCAACACUUAAGGCAAACUGUGUCUCUGUCUCCACACUGGAACACACCUCAUGGCCACUUGGAAACACGUCAGCUGUAGAGAAGCUCCAGUCCAGGACAUUGGAAGCCUGUAGGCUGGUCUUGCAUGAUGGUGUCUGCAGGACUGAUCACACUGUGGGCAUGGAGGCUGAGCCAUGCCUAUAUACUGGGAAAGGUUGUAGGAUAUAGUGGAAGAAUCCAUCUCUGCGGUAAGGCAAUCCCCCAACUUCUUUGUAUCAUGGAGAAAGGAAAUCUGGAAAAUCAAAUGCUGCUUUCCCUCCAUGGAUUUGGAUUUUGGUGAGAUGCAGACAAAGUCUACUCUUUGUUACAGACAACUUCAUUCGGUAAACAAUUUGGGAGGCUUCCUAUGUGCCAAGUAAUUUCUAGGACCUAAGGAUACCCAAAUGUCUUCCAGGGUUCACAGUCUGGUUCAUGGUUCUGUGAUUGCAACUGAAAGUUGCAAGGGUAAAAGGCAGUAGGAGCCUAGUGAGGGAACCAAAGGGGAAGGCACACUGUAACCUUCCCUCUUCCCCUGGCUCCCAGUACUCAGGCCAUCUUGCCAUUAAAUGACUCUGAGCAGGGAAAAAAGGGACAUUUUUUUUUCCUGACACGUGAGUAUUUCACCAUUAAAUGCAGUAAGAACCAGAGCUGGAGACCUGUGUGAAGUCCCCAGCAGAAGUCACCACAAGGAAUGUGGUUUUGCAGAUGGGCAGUCAGAGAGAAGACAUGCUUGACAGGAUUUCGAUUCUGCAAUUUGUAUACGGGGUAAAAAUGGGAGUUCAUAACCCACUUGAAUCAAAGUGUGAAAUAUGAUAUAUCAAGAACUAUGUAAUGUUUUGAACAACCAACAAUAAAAAAAUUAAAAAAAAAAAA